rnacentral:rRNA from 1 species
GAUGAACGCUGGCGGCGUGCCUAAUACAUGCAAGUCGAGCGAACAGACGAGGAUCUUGCUCCUCUGACGUUAGCGGCGCACGGGUGAGUAACACGUGUAUAACCUACCUAUAAUACUGGGAUAACUUCGAGACACCGGCUCUAAUACCGGAUAAUAUAUUGCACCACAUGGUUCGAUAGUGAAAGUCGGUUGUUCUGUCACUUAUCGAUGCAUCCGCGCCGCUUUAGCUAGUUGUGAAGUUCAAGGCUUACUAAGGCGACCAUGCGUAGCCGACGUGAGAGGGGGGUCGGCGACCCUGGAGGGGGGCCACGGACAAGGGGCCUACGAGAGGCAGCAGUAGGGAACCUGCCGCAGUGGUCGAAAGCCUGGCGGAGCAACGCGGCGUGUGUGAUGAAAAUGUUCGGAGCGUAAAACUCGGUUACGAGGUGAGAACAGCUGUGUAAGUAACUGUGGACGUAGUGACGGUACUGAAUCAGAAAGCCCCGGCUAACUACGUG